CUAUAUUGCCAGUCUCACAGAGCAUUCUUCAGUGCUAAGUCGGUUAGAGACGACACGAAAAUAUGUCUUAUAGCACGACGCCCAAAGUUUUGUCCGAUACCGUUUAACAUUUAGAAGAUAAGGAAGUGGACUGUUAACCCGCUUCCACUUGUCUUGGACAACUGGAUCUACACGGGUUUCUGACCUCCGGUGUAAUCUGGAGCUAAUUUACGGCGGCACGGAGCAGACAAAAGAAGGCUGCCUCGAGGUGUCUGACGCUCGUCUCGUUUCCAGCCAUCCCACAAUCCACCUGCCCGCACUCCUCCCAUCUUCCCGGCCGGCCAAACUCACCCAGUACCCCGGAGCCGGAGCUUAGCGGCGGGGUAGCGGCCGUCUCCGGCCUCUCCGCAUCUGCCUGCUGCGUUCGGUGUCGGUGGCGGCCGCUCUCGGGUCCGUCGCCGGCCGCUGUCGCACCACCGCCGC